CCGUCCAAACCCUGCCCACGUGUUGCAAUACAACAAACCGCAACUGCAGCGUGGGUUUCAUUUACACUCAGGACUCUACUUUUAACAACUACAGGAUUCAGUGGGUGGUCACAAAAAGGUCAAGAAGUUACAGUCUCAGGAUGGCAACUGAGCAUUGAUGAUGAAGACUCUGAGAUGCAGAAAAGCACUGGAAAAAGCUUACUUUCAGAAGCUGCUGAUCUACAGGGAUCGUCUCAAACAACUAAAUCUCUGUUGUUGACAGAGGAUAGACACAGGAAGAGAAAACAUCGAGAACUGCUGUUCACUGGGUGAAAAUGCCUUGUUGAUGUCAGAGGUCAGAGGACAAUGACCAGACUGGUCAUACAUCUGAACUAAGGUAUGCUGAAGAACAUCCAUCCUUCCAUCUUCUACCACUUUAUCCAUGGGGGCACUGGUGUUGGAGCUGACAUAGGGCGUAUGGCAGGGUACACCA